ensembl:lincRNA
AUAUAUUCAAUAAGCUGUAAACACUACAAAAUCUAUUUCUAAAAAUUGUUUUGCCAAAAGUUUUCACUUUCAUCUCAGGCUCAAAGGAUUAGUUAAGAAAAUAUUUCAGUUCACUUCAGUUCAGUCACUCAGUUGUGUCCGACUCUUUGAAACCCUAUGAAUUGCAGCACGCCAGGCCUCCCUGUCCAUCACCAACUCCUGGAGUUCACUCAGACUCACAUCCAUCGAGUCAGUGAUGCCAUCCAGCCAUCUCAUCCUCUGUUGUCCCCUUCUCCUCCUGCCCCUAAUCCCUCCCAGCAUCAGAGAUUUUUCCAAUGAGUCAAAUCUUCGCAUGAGGUGGCCAAAAUACUGGAGUUUCAGCUUUAGCAUCAGUCCUUCCAAAGAAAUCCCAGGGAUGAUCUCCUUCAGAAUGGACUGACUGGAUCUCCUUGCAGUCCAAGGGACUCUCAAGAGUCUUCAACACCACAGUUCAAAAGCAUCAAUUCUUUGGCGCUCAGCCUUCUUCACAGUCCAACUCUCACAUCCAUACAUGACCACAGGAAAAACCAUAGCCUUGACUAGACGGACCUUAGUUGGCAAAGUAAUGCCUCUGCUUUUGAAUAUGCUAUCUAGAUUGGUAAUAGCUUUUCUUCCAAGGAGCAAACAUUUUUUAAUUUCAUGGCUGCAGUCACCAUCUGCAGUGGUUUUGAAGCCCCCCAAGAUAAAGUCUGUCACUGUUUCCAUUAUUUCCCCAUCUAUUUGCCGCAAAGUGAUGGGACUGGAUGCCAUGAUCUUUGUUUUUUGAAGGUUGAGUUUAAAGACAGAUUUUUCACUCUCUUUUUUUACCUUCAUCAAGAGGCUCUUUAAUUCCUCUUUGCUUUCUGCCAUAAGGGUGGUGUCAUCUUCAUACCUGAGCUUAUUGAUAUUUCUCCCAGUAAUCUUGAUUCCAGUUUGUGCUUCAUCCAGCCUAACAUUUUGCCUGAUGUACUCUACAUAUAAGUUAAAUGAGCAGGGGUACAAUACAGUCUUGAUGUACUCAUUUCCUGAUUUGGAACCAGUCUAUUGUUCCAUGUCCUGUUCUAACUGUUGCUUCUUGACCUUCAUACAGAUUUCUCAGGAGGCAGAUAAUCUUCUAUUUUUGACACUCCCAAACAGGUUAUCAGAAGUCUUUCCCAGACAGUGACAUUUCCUGAAUCUGCAGCAUCAAUAAGAAGGAACUUAGUCAAUAGGAAAUUACUAUUCAGACCUACAGCUGCAUUAAAAAAAAAAAAAAAGAAAAAGAAAAAACUAAACCAAACACCCACUCAGAGGCUGUCAGUAGAAACAAAGUUGAGAUCAAUAAUGCCAUGUUUUGUAAACUUAGAAAAACAUCAUCUGGUCAGCUGCUGGCUAUCUCCCUUCUUAGCAAAGGCACUGAGGAAAACAGUCUACUCUCAGAUUUAGUAAUUUUUCCUUUUAUUUUCUCUAUUCAUUGAGACACACUUUCUCAGAAUCAACCUGGAGACUGUGUCAUUCUUAGAUAAAUCAGAGCAUAUGCCAUUUUAUAUUUAAAAUAUGUAAACAUCAAUAUUCAGAAUUUUGUCCACAUGAGAGGAGGAUUAAGCAAAUUAUUUACUGUAGAUUUAUGGAUGUAAUUAUAUUAUCCCA